rfam:Desulfotignum phosphitoxidans DSM 13687 Dpo_2c, whole genome shotgun sequence.
GUCAACUACCCCGGCCUGAAGGCCGGAGCUUGUAAAAGGCUCCAUGGUUGACCAGGGAAAUGUUCAAAGUUUAAUGGCAAAUACAAAAAAGGAGAACAUUAAAAGUUGCAUAGAGAGCUAAAGACCAACGGCGGGAUGCUUCCUCAGUCCCGCCCUCUUGAAGCCUGGGUUGCAGACAACCUUCAGGGGUGUGGACGAAACGGGUCCGGGCAUACAGCCGCUGUGCAACAAUCCCGAGGGGAGAGUUCA